rnacentral:lncRNA from 1 species
UGUGACUCAAGCCUUACAAUUGUAUCCUUUGUGCAGAUCCCAGAAGAUGAAAUGGUAGUUCCAGAGCUUGACAGAGCGCUCCUCUUUCUGCAUCCAAUACAGAUGAAGUAUCCAAAGGGCAGAUUUCCAGGGCUCCAUGUGACACCAGAAAACUGGAGGCAACCAAAACAGAAAUCUGCAAUACAGAAGGCAGUUUUCAGAUCUGGUUUUUUGAGCAUCACCUAUUAG